rnacentral:lncRNA from 1 species
UGGCAGUUGAAAAAUAAAUGACACUGGAAGAAUUUGGAGCACUUUUAAAUCAAAGCACAUCUCAACCCAAGUUUUAAAAAAAUGAGCUUGAAAGACACACAUGCAACCACCGAGUGAGCAAUCCAAACAUGCUCUAUGUACUAGUCUUCAUUUUGUGACAAGUUAAAUUACUAAGACAAUAAAAUAAAGAGUGACAGAGUUGAAGAUCUCUGAAUACAAUCAGCAUAGUUAAGAUACUUUACCUCCUUUUCUUCACCAACAUGGUCUAAGCUCUCAUGACUUGAUGGAUUAUAUGGAAUCACUGAUUCUACGUUAUCUGGAUGCACUGAUGAUGGGUCCAUAGGCAUUAUUGGUUCUGGUUGUAGUGUAUGACGACCACAUUCAGUAUUGACCAGUUUGUGACACUUCUUGUGAACAAGGAGUUUGCAAUUGAUGCAUUUGUAUCCCUGGCGACCCAGGCCCCAUAUUCG